rnacentral:rRNA from 1 species
CCUACGGGAGGCAGCAGUGGGGAAUAUUGCACAAUGGGGGAAACCCUGAUGCAGCAACGCCGCGUGAGCGAUGAAGGCCUUCGGGUCGUAAAGCUCUGUCAUAAGGGAAGAAUACUGACGGUACAUUAGGCGGAAGCCCCGGCAAUCUACGUGCCAGAAGCGGCGGUAAUAGGUAGGGGGCUAGCGUUAUCCGGAAUUACGGGGCGUAAAGGGUGCGCAGGGGCACCUUCAAGUGAGAGGUGAAAGGCUGCGAUUCAACCCGAGAUAGCAUUUGAAACUGUAGGGUUAGAGUGCAGGAGAGGAGAGUGGAAUUCCCAGUGUAGUGGUGAAAUGCGUAGAUAUUAGGAGGAACACCAGUUGCGAAGGCGGCUCUCUGGACUGUAACUGACGCUGAGGCACGAAAGCGUGGGGAGCGAACAGGAUUAGAUACCCGUGUAGUC